ensembl:lncRNA
GGGGAAGUAUGCAGAAUAGUGUUGGGAUAAAUAGAACAAUUCUCAUGCUGCUAGACUGAUCAACCCAGGGAGAUAAAGAGCUCUAAACAGCUGGAAGUGUUCAUCCUUCAAUCUGUACAAAGAAAAGGGUAGACAUGGUUUAACUCAGUUGCUAGUUAUCAAUCAGGACAGACUUUCUCAGUCUACUUGAUUUUAAUAAUUUCUUUUUUUUCUUCUCUAGAUGUUCCUCAGAAGAACAGGCUUGUUGCUUUGCAGUGUUAGUGACCUUUUCCCUUUGACGAUCCCCAGGUGGAGAUGGGGCAUGAGGAUCCUCCAGGGGAAAAGUUCACUGCCACUGGGCAACAACCCUGGGUCAGGAGAUUUUACUAAGAUUCUUUCCUGGGUCCAGAUAGGAGGGUGAAGACUCAAAGACAACCACCGCACAUCAAGAUGGGUAAGCUAUCCCUCAAAGCAUAAUAUUCUUAAUUUUGAUCUUGUUUUUCUCAAAAACAGUGAAGUUAGCUUUUCACAGAAGUUGUAUUCAUUUCCCUGCUUUGGUACAAACAGCUUCCUAACUAACCCGGGAGGCAACAGUGUGUCAGACUGGUGAAAGUAAUGAGGUGAAGAAGUUACCAUGCUGCAUGAACCAGUUUAGGAUAGAACUGCAGGAUGUGGAAGAGGCCUACAAUUAAAUUUUCAAAUUGGUCUUUCUUUUAGGAGAACAUGGACAGCAACUACCACUGCAACAACACUGAUCUCCUAAGCAAAUCAUUCUGUUCCAUGUGGUCCUCAAAAUCUCCUUUGAAGCUUUACAGGGAAACUGUGCCAGGCAUUCACAGACUUCAAGAUGCCUUGGGAUAUCCAUGGGAUGUAACAUACAAUUAGCGGUUUGAGAAGAUAAAAGUGAACUGUAUCUCUGUAUGCUAUGCAUGCGGAUUGGCAGAAGACUCAUAAGUACAACUGGAAACCUGACGAAAAAUGGUAUAGGGUUAUCUCACAUUGGGCAGCAUCUACAGAACCAGGACCCUACACUCUCUAGCUCUCGAUUGAUAAUAUCUGACAAACCAUUAUCCUUCCCAAAAGCAGUACAGAGAGCUGGAUCAUCAUCAGGAUUAAGAAAUGAGAACACAUCAAAGGGAGCCAAGUUUUCUACCUGAAGAUCAACAUGCCUGACACUAGCAUUUCAGAAUAGCAGAAUUAAGUAAGCUGUUGGGGUUGCAAUCCUGUAAGUAUUGCCCCAGAAUGAACGGCUGUUUGCAGGGAAUUCAUAUUGGGCCGAAUCUGAGAUGGGAAGAUGACCAGUGUCCUAUAUUACCAACUGAAUUCACUGUUAACUACUUACCAGUUGGAUCACAGAGGGGGAUUUAGCCUCUACUUGCCUUAUUGUAUAUCUUCAAUGUUCAGGUGUUCUGCCAUUCUUAAAGGUUUAAAUAUUGAAAAGCCUAAAAGACAGGUAAUGCUUUCUGAUGAAAGCUUGGCCCUUUCUCAUUUCCAUUUGGGAGAGAAUCUGAGUUAAGAUUUAGUCUAAAGAGAAACUUGGGUAACAUGCAGUGUCCCACGCCUAUAAGUCCAGUGGCCCUGGAGGCUGAGGCAGGAGAAUCUUAAGUUGUAAGCCAGCCUCACCAACUAAAGGAGACCUUGUCUCAAAACAAAAAGGGGAUGUAGCUCAGUGAUUAAGCGUUCCUGGGUUCAAUCCCUAAUACCAAAGGAAAAGAAAAAAAUAAAAGAAAAAGACAGAUUUGGAAGCA